GUAAUACUCCCUCCUUCUAGGAAUACUUGUCGGAGAAACGAAUAAAAAUGGAUGUAUGUAGAACUAAAAUACGUCUAAAUAUAUUCAUUUUCUAACAAAUAUUUUCAGAUGAAGGGAGUACAUA
rfam:Triticum urartu cultivar G1812 contig1232636, whole genome shotgun sequence.